ACUACUUCUGGGGAUAAAAGAUGAGGUCCCUUUUCUAUUUAUCUUCCAACCACCAACUAUUUUCUCCUCAUCAAAGAUUGCCAGAUGAAAAUGCCACUGGAGACAGUGUCAGCAGUGUUACUAAAGUCAAGAUAUCUUCUGUUUGCUACUGACUCAGGAAGAAGAUCCUAUUGAUAUAAAGACUUAAAGGCAAUAAUGGCAGAGUGGCAGCAGUUGUCAUGAUUCUACA